rnacentral:lncRNA from 1 species
CUGAUAGAGUACCACAUCAACCAGAUAGAUACAACAGUUUCUUAGUCUGAGAUAGGGAUCCAGUUAAACUCGAUGAGAACAAUGAGGAUCCGAUCAUCUAUAUGGAUGCAAUGCAGAGGUCUGACUCCGAUAAAUAGUUGAAAGUCAUGAAAUCUGAAAUAGAGUCUAUGAAAAUCAAUAAUGUAUGGAAUUGACUGACCCACCUG